rnacentral:lncRNA from 1 species
CUCGAAUUAAGUUUGCAAGAUUGAUAUAAACAUUCAGGUGGUUAGGAGCAACUCUUGCUGCGUAUUUUUUACCUGGGAUAAUCUGUGGCAUCAAUGAUUUAGCAAUCAUAUAUGAUUUCUCGGCUUCUUUAGUUUUGUUUAAGUUUUUGUAAGUUCUUCCAACAUUCAUGUGAGCACCAAUGUCAUCUGGCUGCACCUGUGUGGCUUGAAUGAAGAACUGCAAAGCUCUUUCAAAAUUCUUUUCAUUUUCUAAUGCAUGUCCCACAUUGUUCCAUAGCUUUGCAUUGUUCUUAUUUACCUUUAAAGCUGACAUAAACAAUGUGUACUCUGAUUCCCAAUCCCAGUUUCUGUGCAGUGUUUUCAAGGCGUGUGUGAACAGUACCACAGCCAAACAAACCCAAGAAAUUUUUCUUAGCAUGCUUUUAUUUGAUAAUUUCUUCCAUCCAUGUGCUACUAAAAUGCAGAAUCCCAUGCUAGGAACAUAUAACACUCGUUCUG